rnacentral:rRNA from 1 species
UCAAGCUAUAAAGAGCGCAAGGGGAAUGCCUUGGCAUCAGGAGCCGACGAAGGACGUGACAAGCUGCGAUAAGCUACGGUGAGGAGCAAAUAUCCUGUGACCCGUAGAUUUCCGAAUGGGGCAACCCGGCUGGACAAUAUCCAGUCAUCCUGCAUUGAAUAAAAUAGGUGUAGGAAGGGAACCGCCUGAACUGAAACAUCUAAGUAGGGCGAGGAAAAGACAUCAACCGAGAUUCCGCAAGUAGUGGCGAGCGAACGCGGAGGAGGCCAAACCAGAGGUCAUUGAUCUCUGGGGUAAGGACUUGCAUCAUGAUCAGAGGUAUCUAGUCGAAUGGCGUGGGAAAGCCAACCACAGAGGGUGAGAGUCCCGUAGACGAAAGAGAAGACUGACAGCAAGUAUCCAGAGUACCGCCGGACACGUGAAACCCGGUGGGAACAUGGGAGGACCACCUUCCAAGCCUAAAUACUACCUGAUGACCGAUAGAGAAGCAGUACCGUGAGGGAAAGGUGAAAAGAACCCCGGGAGGGGAGUGAAAUAGUACCUGAAACCUUGUGCUUACAAGCAGUCAGAGCACGUUAAAGUGUGAUGGCGUACCUUUUGUAGAAUGGUCCGGCGAGUUAUAGUCACUGGCGAGGUUAAGCAAUUCAGUUGUGGAGCCGAAGGGAAACCGAGUCUUAAUAGGGCGUCGAGUCAGUGGCCAUAGACCUGAAACCGGGUGACCUAUCCAUGAGCAGGUUGAAGUUGGUGUAAAAGCCAAUGGAGGACCGAACCCACGUUCGUUGCAAUGACCGGGGAUGACUUGUGGAUAGCGGAGAAAUUCCAAUCGAACUCGGAGAUAGCUGGUUCUCCCCGAAAUAGCUUUAGGGCUAGCCUCGUUUUAAAUUACCGGGGGUAGAGCACUGAAUGGGCUAGGGGGCCACAAAGCUUACCGAACCCUAUCAAACUUCGAAUACCGGAUAAUUGAUGAACGGGAGUCAGACGGCGGGAGAUAAGUUUCGUCGUCAAAAGGGAAACAGCCCAGAUCUACGACUAAGGUCCCGAAAUCACAGUUAAGUGGAAAAGGAUGUGCAGUUGCACAGACAACCAGGAUGUUGGCUUAGAAGCAGCCACUCAUUUAAAGAGUGCGUAAUAGCUCACUGGUCGAGUGAUUGUGCGCCGAAAAUGUACCGGGGCUAAACUGUGUACCGAAGUCUAGGGAUCGUGAUAAACGAUCGGUAGGGGAGCAACGUGUGCGGGCUGAAGCCGAAGCGGAAGCGACGGUGGACUGCACGGGAGAGAGAAUGCCGGCAUGAGUAGCGAGAGCAAAGUGAGAAUCUUUGCCGUCGAAAGCCUAAGGUUUCCUGAGGAAGGCUCGUCCUCUCAGGGUAAGUCGGGACCUAAGCCGAGGACAACAGUCGUAGGCGAUGGAUAACAGGUUGAUAUUCCUGUACCGUACUUAAGCGUUUGACUGAAGCAGUGACACAGAAGGAUAGACAGAGCGCGUGACUGGUAGAGCGCGUCCAAGCGAUGAGGGAGUUGAUUAGUGAAGUACGGUCAGCAAUCCUGGGUCGUGAUGGGGACUGAAAAUAAGUAGGGAAGCUGUUGAAUUCACGCUGGCGAGAAAAGCUGCUAAGGAGCGAAAGGGUGCCUGUACCGCAAACCGACACAGGUAGGCGAGGAGAGAAUCCUAAGACGAGCGGGAGAACCCAUGUUAAGGAACUCGGCAAAAUGACCCUGUAACUUCGGGAUAAAGGGAGCCACGAGAGUGGCCGCAGAGAAUAGGCCCAAGCGACUGUUUACCAAAAACACAGGUCUGUGCGAAGUAGAGAUACGACGUAUACGGGCUGACGCCUGCCCAGUGCCGGAAGGUUAAGGGGAAGUGUUAGGGCAACCGAAGCACGGAACUUAAGCCCCGGUGAACGGCGGCCGUAACUAUAACGGUCCUAAGGUAGCGAAAUUCCUUGUCGGGUAAGUUCCGACCCGCACGAAAGGCGUAAUGAUUUGAGCACUGUCUCGACAAUGCAUCCGGUGAAAUUGAAGUACCAGUGAAGAUGCUGGUUACCUGCGCCAGGACGGAAAGACCCCAUGGAGCUUUACUCCAGCUUGAUACUGGGAUUCGAUACUGUAUGUACAGGAUAGGUGGGAGACGUUGAGCAUAGAACGCCAGUUUUAUGUGAGUCGCUGUUGGGAUACCACCCUUGCAGUAUUGGAUUUCUAACCUGCACCCAUGACCUGGGUGGGGGACAAUGUCUGGCAGGUCGUGGUACUGAUAUUAUUUUAGGUGGUAAUCUGAAGGCUGAUAUUGAUGAGCUUGGUGAAAACCCUACUCCUGAACAGAUUGCCAAAGUUAAGGAAGACUGGCAGAAACGCCAUGAUGACGUAUUAAAGGCCGGUGGUCUGCAUAUCAUUGGUUCUGAACGUCAUGAGUCACGCCGUAUUGAUAAUCAGCUCCGCGGUCGUGCCGGCCGUCAGGGUGAUCCUGGUUCAUCACGUUUCUACCUGUCAAUGGAUGAUAACCUGAUGAAACUGUUCGGCUCAGAGAAGCUGAAGAAUUUUAUGAAAAAGAUGGGUAUGGACGACGGUCAGCCUUUAGAGCACAAGUUCAUCACCAGAGCUAUUGAGUCAGCUCAGCGUAAGGUUGAAACCCGCAACUUUGAUAUCCGUAAGAACCUGCUUGAGUACGAUGAUGUUGCAAAUGAGCAGCGUAAAGUUAUCUAUGAGGAGCGAAAUGCACUUUUAGAGGGUAAGGAUAUCUCGG